rnacentral:rRNA from 1 species
GUGCCAGCAGCCGCGGUAAUACGGAAGGUCCGGGCGUUAUCCGGAUUUAUUGGGUUUAAAGGGAGCGCAGGCUGGGGAUUAAGCGUGACGUGAAAUGCCGCGGCUCAACCGUGGAAGUGCGUCGCGAACUGGUUCCCUUGAGUGCGAACACGUGGGCGGAAUUCGUGGUGUAGCGGUGAAAUGCUUAGAUAUCACGAAGAACCCCGAUUGCGAAGGCAGCCCACGAGGCCGCAACUGACGCUAAAGCUCGAAGGUGCGGGUAUCGAACAGGAUUAGAUACCCUGGUAGUCCGCACGGUAAACGAUGGAUGCCCGCUGUAUGCGACAUACUGUAUGCGGCCAAGCGAAAGCGUUAAGCAUCCCACCUGGGGAGUACGCCGGCAACGGUGAAACUCAAAGGAAUUGACGGGGGCCCGCACAAGCGGAGGAACAUGUGGUUUAAUUCGAUGAUACGCGAGGAACCUUACCCGGGCUUGAACUGCAGAGGAAGGAUUGAGAGAUCAUGACGCCCUUCGGGGCCUCUGUGGAGGUGCUGCAUGGUUGUCGUCAGCUCGUGCCGUGAGGUGUCGGCUUAAGUGCCAUAACGAGCGCAACCCCUGCUGUCAGUUGCCAUCAGGUGAUGCUGGGCACUCUGGCGGUACUGCCACCGUAAGGUGUGAGGAAGGUGGGGAUGACGUCAAAUCAGCACGGCCCUUACGUCCGGGGCUACACACGUGUUACAAUGGGUGGUACAGAGCGUCGGCCGCUCGCAAGGGCGGUCCAAUCGUGAAAGCCAUCCUCAGUUCGGAUUGGGGUCUGCAACCCGACCCCAUGAAGCUGGAUUCGCUAGUAAUCGCGCAUCAGCCAUGGCGCGGUGAAUACGUUCCCGGGCCUUGUACACACCGCCCGU